GGCGGAGGAGGGCGGAGGUCUACCACAGAGACACUUGGGGAACGGUUUGUGAUGAUCACUGGAGCACCGCCAACGCUAAAGUGACCACUCGGGGAAAAUAACUGUGGCCGUGAUCAAGAUGCUGGCUGGGGUUGUCUGUUCAGCUGUUGUAAGGAAAACAUCAUCUUCCUGCUGCAUGCUGGGAGUGAGAGGAACGGAGA